ACGCUCGACACCUACGGGGGGCAGCAGUGGGGGAAUAUUGCACAAUGGGGGAAACCCGUGAUGCAGCGACGCCGCGUGAGCGAAGAAGUAUUUCGGUAUGUAAAGCUCUAUCAGCAGGGAAGAAAAUGACGGUACCUGACUAAGAAGCACCGGCUAAAUACGUGCCAGCAGCCGACGGUAAUCUGAGGCGGGCUGGCAAGGC
rnacentral:rRNA from 1 species